rnacentral:rRNA from 1 species
GAUGAACGCUGGCGGCGUGCCUAAUACAUGCAAGUCGAGCGAACAGAUAAGGAGCUUGCUCCUUUGACGUUAGCGGCGGACGGGUGAGUAACACGUGGGUAACCUACCUAUAAGACUGGAAUAACUCCGGGAAACCGGGGCUAAUGCCGGAUAACAUUUAGAACCGCAUGGUUCUAAAGUGAAAGAUGGUUUUGCUAUCACUUAUAGAUGGACCCGCGCCGUAUUAGCUAGUUGGUAAGGUAACGGCUUACCAAGGCAACGAUACGUAGCCGACCUGAGAGGGUGAUCGGCCACACUGGAACUGAGACACGGUCCAGACUCCUACGGGAGGCAGCAGUAGGGAAUCUUCCGCAAUGGGCGAAAGCCAGACGGAGCAACGCCGCGUGAGUGAUGAAGGUCUUCGGAUCGUAAAACUCUGUUAUUAGGGAAGAACAAAUGUGUAAGUAACUGUGCACGUCUUGACGGUACCUAAUCAGAAAGCCACGGCUAACUACGUG